rnacentral:tmRNA from 1 species
GGGGCCGUUUUUGGUUUUGACUGCAAGGAUAAUGGACUUGUAAGCAUGUCGAGCAAUUGUUAUUUAACUCGUAAAACUGUAUGGCAAAACUAUAGAAGGCAAUAAUAAUAAUUAUGCUCUCGCUGCGUAACCGAAGUUUAGUAAGUUAACGCUUAAUUCUGCACAAGCUUGCAGAACGAGAUGUCUCACAAGAAGGAUUUCCUGAUUCCUUUUUGAAUUGAGGCACCGAUAACAUCAGGAUAGUUUCAGUAGGGCUUCGAUACUGAAAUGAAAUUUAAGAAGCUAAGCAUAAAUUUUGGGUGCUCUUUCCCGAGUUUAUGUCGAAAAUUAAUAAAGAGAUAAGCAUGUAGAAAGCAUUUCUGUUACUUGUUUGGACGCGGGUUCGACUCCCGCCGGCUCCACUA